rnacentral:rRNA from 1 species
UGGGCGAAAGCCUGACGCAGCGACGCCGCGUGGGUGAUGAAGGCCUUCGGGUCGUAAAACCCUGUCGGGUGGAACGAAUCCUGCUUCGCUAAUACCGGAGCGGUUUGACGGUACCACCGAAGGAAGCCCCGGCUAACUACGUGCCAGCAGCCGCGGUAAUACGUAGGGGGCGAGCGUUGUUCGGAUUUACUGGGCGUAAAGAGCGCGUAGGUGGUUCGAUGAGUCGGAGGUGAAAUCCCUCGGCUUAACCGAGGACCCGCGUCCGAUACUGUCGAACUUGAGUGCAGGAGAGGAGAGCGGAAUUCCCAGUGUAGCGGUGAAAUGCGUAGAUAUUGGGAGGAACACCGGUGGCGAAGGCGGCUCUCUGGACUGUCACUGACACUGAGGCGCGAAAGCUAGGGGAGCAAACGGGAUUAGAUACCCCGGUAGUCCUAGCCGUAAACGAUGGGCACUAGGUGUGGGAGGUAUCGACCCCUUCCGUGCCGCAGCUAACGCAUUAAGUGCCCCGCCUGGGG